CUCACGCUGCGUGGUCACACUUCAUUUCGGUCGUCUUUCACAGACAUUACUUUCUCUUGGUUCUAAUUUCCAACGUUAAAGCUUAUUGCGAGGUGAAAGCAUCUCCGAUGUGUGUGAUUCUGCUCCCAUUGGUUCAGACGUGGCAGUCAGCUGACUCUGUUGCUCUCCUCACCUCUCUGUCCUGUUCACCCCCCUCUCUCUCUCCCUUUCUCUCUGUCUCCCUUUCUCUCUCUCUCUCUCACCUGUGCCCAGCUUUCCUCCUUUUAAUGGUUAACUCGUACCUCUUUUUGACCCCCUUGUUAACCUUCAUUCACCUGAAUCUUUUUUGCGUUCUUCUGUGGUCACUUCCUACAUGCGGUUCUUUUUCCAGGGAGGGGAAGUGCAAACUGUGAUGCUCUGAUUCUAAUGUCAUUUCACAUCAGAUCUUUUCAGUUAUAAAAGUAAAACGAAGGAAUACUAAAUAUUUGUAUGGCUCUUUAAAGGUUUACUAUACCUCCCUUGUGAUGCACAGUGUCCUGCCAUGGAAAGAUAAUAGGUCAUAACACCCACACAGGCACUGGCAAAAGCUUACUAUCUUACGGUUGUGAAACAGCGCUUUGAUGGCUGCAUGGACAUCGGCCAUCUGUGGAGACAGUCUCAUGAGAACAGGGCCACAGGGUUCCUCUCUCCUCUCAGUUUAGUAGGUGACCACAGGACAGAGUAGGUGACCACAGGACAGAGUAGGUGACCACAGGACAGAGUAGGUGACCACAGGACAGAGUAGGCGACCACAGGACAGAGUAGGCGAACAGAGUAGGCGACCACAGGACAGAGUAGGUGACCACAGGACGGACUCACGCACACAGACCACUUCAAGGCUUCAUCUGUGCCAUGGCAGCUCUCCAGCACGAGGUACCAGUUUGCAAUAAGCGCAAAUUGUCCCGUCUGAGUUGCCUGACAUACCUUAGAAUCCUACCUAUGAAUCCAGUCAGCGUCGUAUGGAAUGAAGGAGGCGGAGGAUGAAGAAAAAUCUUUUGGUUUUUCUUCAUCCCAGAGAAGCUUUAUGAGAAUCCAUUCCAUCCUCUUUUCUGUCUUCUCCUUCUCUCUCUCUUCUUGUCUUCUCUUCUCUGUCUUUCUCUCUUUAAUCUCCUCCGUAUUCCUCUCUUUUUACUGUGACUGGCAUUAGACAAUAAAAGAACAGACGGUGCCCCCUUUGAAUCUGCCCUCACAACUGCUUAGCCAAUCAAAUAAAGAGUAGAGAUUAUCAAUAUCAA